AGCCCCCUGUAUUCGUGCUGAGAUUUCGUCAGAAACCCGUUGGCGUUGGCUGAUGGUACUUCCCAAAUAAGUGAAGCG
rnacentral:pre_miRNA from 1 species